AUUACGUACUCAUACUCCCACCACCCUAAUAUGAUAUUUUCUGUGCAGUUGCAAAAGCUGAAUGAUCUGAUGCAGAAAUCCGAGAAAGAAGGUGGACAGUAUUGUUCAAUUGGGGUUGAUCAGGAGUCGUAUAACAGGCACGAUAAUACUAUUAAGUCUAAGGAAAUGGAUGGGAAACCAAGUUUGUCUUUUGACUUAUCAGAGCAUGGAGUUAAUGGUGUAAUUUCAGAUGAUGACAGUAGUAUAAAAGCUGAUUAUUUCGGCUUGGAUGAAGAAUCUGAUCAUCUACUGAAAAUGGUAGAAGCAGGGGAUAGUUCUUUAACUUCCCCUGAAAACUGGGGUACCCUAGAGGAUGAUGGUCUCUUGGACCAGCAGCCUAAUAGUUGUAAUUAUGAUCAGUGGUGGGAUUUUUGGUCUUGAUCCAUAAUUAUUAUUGCACCAUAGACUAAAUAUACCCAUCUAAAUGUUGGCUUUGAGGGGAAAGUUUAUAACAUAUGAUCAGAUGCCAGCGACUGUACAUUUGAGCACCUCAACGUCCACCAAUCUGUCCUUGAUUUCACACCAUAAGUGGCUGAGUGCCUCAGCUUAGGGUCAUAGCACUGCUCAAAAUUUGAGGAUGAUGGUCUCUUGGAUCAGCAGCCUAAUAGUUGUAAUUAUGAUCAGUGGUGGGAUUUUUGGUCUUGAUCCAUAAUUAUUAUUGCACCAUAGACUAAAUAUACCCAUCUAAAUGUUGGCUUUGAGGGGAAAGUUUAUAACAUAUGAUCAGAUGCCAGCGACUGUACAUUUGAGCACCUCAACGUCCACCAAUCUGUCCUUGAUUUCACACCAUAAGUGGCUGAGUGCCUCAGCUUAGGGUCAUAGCACUGCUCAAAAUUGAAUGCUUUUACCAUAAUAGAGGCUUUGCUAUCAGAAGCCCUUAUCCACCGGAAAUUUGUAGUCUCUCUCUCAGUCUUGUACUAGUAUUAGCAGUGGAUCUCAAUAGUGGUUUUAGUAGAUUGUUUGUCUUGAAAUAUGCUAGUAAUAAUAAAUAAUUAUGGCACCCUAAUAAAUGAGAAGAAAGUCCAGCAGCUCGUAUUCAAAGAUAACAAAGAAAGUCAGCAAGCAAUAAAAAGAUUUUCAACUGAAAUCUGCUAUUAUUAGUGAUGUGUUAUUGCAAUUAGUCACCAACUCUUAAUUUUUGUCAGUUCCAACCUGCAUAAUAAAGUUGGUACUGCAGCAUACAUGAAGCCUGGAGAAAUCCUGCAGUAUAAUUUGUGAGGAUGUUGCUAAUUAUUACCAGUAUAGAUUUGGGGGCUAAAUAGCUAAGUGGCUUACGUUUCAAUUAGUAUUGUUUAUGUAGCUAAGUUUGGGUUAUCUCAGGACUCUUCUUCCAUAUAAUACCGUACCAGUAGAAAGAGCAGUUUAAGGGUGUGUUUGGUACGAUAUUUUUUAAUUUUUUCAUGUUUGGUUGGCUUAAAUAUUUUGAAAAAUAUUUUUUUUAUGAACUUAUAUUCCUUCAAUUGGAGGAAAAUAUUUCCCUUAUUAAGAGAAAGGAAAAUAUUUUUCAAAACUCUUUCUCAACCUUUUCCACCCUCACCAACCCACCCCAUCUCAGUCGCGUAGGGCGACCGGGCCAGGCCGAGUCAGAAAGGCUUUGAUGACUCAAGGUUCGCUAUAUGACCUUGAGGAGCCUGUCGGGCUGAAGUGAAGAACGGUCGAGGCAGAAAAGUACCCCUCUUGCCGCUCGGCAUGAAUGAAGUUG
rnacentral:lncRNA from 1 species